UACGGUCAAAUCACGCUGAAACACCGGUUCUCGUACGAUCACCGAAGUUAAGCAGCGUAGAGCCAGGUCAGUACUUAAAUGGUGGGGGGCGCUUAGGAACACCUGGUACUGUAAG
rnacentral:rRNA from 1 species